GACAUCAGGAGGUUAGUGCAAUGGCAUAAGCCAGCUUGACUGCGAGCGUGACGGCGCGAGCAGGUGCGAAAGCAGGUCAUAGUGAUCCGGUGGUUCUGAAUGGAAGGGCCAUCGCUCAACGGAUAAAAGGUACUCCGGGGAUAACAGGCUGAUACCGCCCAAGAGUUCAUAUCGACGGCGGUGUUUGGCACCUCGAUGUCGGCUCAUCACAUCCUGGGGCUGAAGUAGGUCCCAAGGGUAUGGCUGUUCGCCAUUUAAAGUGGUACGCGAGCUGGGUUUAGAACGUCGUGAGACAGUUCGGUCCCUAUCUGCCGUGGGCGCUGGAGAACUGAGGGGGGCUGCUCCUAGUACGAGAGGACCGGAGUGGACGCAUCACUGGUGUUCGGGUUGUCAUGCCAAUGGCACUGCCCGGUAGCUAAAUGCGGAAGAGAUAAGUGCUGAAAGCAUCUAAGCACGAAACUUGCCCCGAGAUGAGUUCUCCCUGAGACUUAGAGUCUCCUGAAGGAACGUUGAAGACGACGACGUUGAUAGGCCGGGUGUGUAAGCGCAGCGAUGCGUUGAGCUAACCGGUACUAAUGAACCGUGAGG
rnacentral:rRNA from 1 species